rnacentral:rRNA from 1 species
GAGUUUGAUCCUGGCUCAGAUUGAACGCUGGCGGCAUGCCUUACACAUGCAAGUCGAACGGCAGCACGGGAGCUUGCUCCUGGUGGCGAGUGGCGAACGGGUGAGUAAUGCAUCGGAACGUAUCCUGGAGUGGGGGAUAACGUAGCGAAAGUUACGCUAAUACCGCAUAUUCUGUGAGCAGGAAAGCGGGGGACCUUCGGGCCUCGCGCUCUUGGAGCGGCCGAUGUCGGAUUAGCUAGUUGGUGAGGUAAAGGCUCACCAAGGCGACGAUCCGUAGCAGGUCUGAGAGGAUGAUCUGCCACACUGGAACUGAGACACGGUCCAGACUCCUACGGAGGCAGCAGUGGGAAUUUUGGACAAUGGGGGCAACCCUGAUCCAGCCAUGCCGCGUGAGUGAAGAAGG